ACUGCCGGCUAAAAAGUCGGAGGAAGGUGGGGAUGACGUCAAAUCAUCAUGCCCUUAUGACCUGGGCUACACACGUGCUACAAUGGGCGGGUACAAAGGGUCGCGAACCCGCAGGGGGAGCCAAUCCCAAAAAGCCGCUCUCAGUUCGGAUUGCAGGCUGCAACUCGCCUGCAUGAAGCCGGAAUCGCUAGUAAUCGCGGAUCAGCAUGCCGCGGUGAAUACGUUCCCGGGCCUU
rnacentral:rRNA from 1 species